UAUCGGCCCAGGGGACUGUCCAAGCUGGGUACAAGUGUAACAAACCCUCAGCUGUGAGCAGUAAAGGAUCUGCCCAAUGUGCGGCUGAAAUAUAGCACUGAUGAGUCCUAAGAUGGUGUAAACAGACUGAUCUUUAUAGCCCAUGUUUUGGUGCUGAUGAGUCCUAAGAUGGUGUAAACAGG